rnacentral:sRNA from 1 species
AAUUUUUGUAUUUUUAGUAGAGACGGGGUUUCAGCAUGUUGGUUAGGCUGGUCUUGAACUCCUGACCUCGUGAUCCGCCCUCCUCGGCCUCCCAAAGUGCCGGGAUUACAGGCGUGAGCCACUGCUCCCGGCGUUUGGGUUUUUUAAGCUAUUCAAAUUAAGUAGACUGGAAUCUGGAGCAGUGUGUGUGACAACCCCUCUGCACACCCAACUUUCCCCGGGCCGGCUAGUGACUCAAAGCGACAGCCCAGAUUUAAGAAAACGAAACCUAGUGCAGCUGGGGCACUUCCGGGAUCUCGCUAUCCGGCCGCCACCCGCAGCUGCAGCACAGUCAUGGCCCAGGCGUCGCCGCCCCGGCCCGAGAGGGUGCUCGGCGCCAGCAGCCCGGAGGCCCAGCCCGCGCAGGAGGCGCUCCUCCUUCCCACCGCUGUAUUCUUCAGGACUUGUGGAAUGUGAGGAUCAGGAUCCACUUAAUCCUGAUAGAAGUUUUGAUGUGGAAUCAGUAAAGAAAGAAAUCCAGAGAGGAAGGAAGUUGAAAUGCAAAUUUUGUCAUAAAAGAGGAGCCACCGUGGGAUGUG